rnacentral:tRNA from 1 species
GCCUGGGUGGCUCAGUUGGUUGGGCAUCUGACUUUGGCUCAGGUCAUGAUCUCAUACUCGGUGAGUUCGAGCCCCGCAUCAGGCU